AUUGAACGCUGGCGGCAGGCCUAACACAUGCAAGUCGAGCGGAUGAAGGGAGCUGGCUCCUGGAUUCAGCGGCGGACGGGUGAGUAAUGCCUAGGAAUCUGCCUGGUAGUGGGGGAUAACGUCCGGAAACGGGCGCUAAUACCGCAUACGUCCUGAGGGGGAAAGUGGGGGAUCUUCGGACCUCACGCUAUCAGAUGAGCCUAGGUCGGAUUAGCUAGUUGGUGGGGUAAAGGCCUACCAAGGCGACGAUCCGUAACUGGUCUGAGAGGAUGAUCAGUCACACUGGAACUGAGACACGGUCCAGACUCCUACGGGAGGCAGCAGUGGGGAAUAUUGGACAAUGGGCGAAAGCCUGAUCCAGCCAUGCCGCGUGUGUGAAGAAGGUCUUCGGAUUGUAAAGCACUUUAAGUUGGGAGGAAGAGCAGUAAGAUCAUACCUUGCUGUUUUGACGUUACCAACAGAAUAAGCACCGGCUAACUUCGUG
rnacentral:rRNA from 1 species